UACGAAGGGGGCUAGCGUUGCUCGGAUUUACUGGGCGUAAAGGGCGCGUAGGCGGACAGUUAAGUUGGGGGUGAAAGCCCCGGGGCUCAACCUCGGAAUUGCCUUCAAUACUGGCUGUCUUGAGUGUGAGAGAGGUGUGUGGAACUCCGAGUGUAGAGGUGAAAUUCGUAGAUAUUCGGAAGAACACCAGUGGCGAAGGCGACACACUGGCUCACUACUGACGCUGAGGCGCGAAAGCGUGGGGAGCAAGCAGG
rnacentral:rRNA from 1 species